GUGAGGAAUAUUGCGCAAUGGAGGCAACUCUGACGCAGCCAUGCCGCGUGCAGGAAGAAGGCGCUACGCGUUGAAAACUGCUUUUAACCGGGAAGAAACCCCAGGACGUGUCCUGGGUUGACGGUACCGGAGGAAUAAGCACCGGCUAACUUCGUGCCAGCAGCCGCGGUAAUACGAAGGGUGCAAGCGUUAUCCGGAUUCAUUGGGUUUAAAGGGUGCGUAGGCGGAGCGUUAAGUCAGUGGUGAAAUCCUGCAGCUUAACUGUAGACUUGCCAUUGAUACUGGCGCUCUUGAGUGCGCUUGAAGUGGGCGGAAUGUGCCGUGUAGCGGUGAAAUGCUUAGAUAUGGCACAGAACACCAAUUGCGAAGGCAGCUCACUAAGGCGAUACUGACGCUGAGGCACGAAAGCGUGGGGAUCGAACAGGAUUAGAUAACCCAGUAGUCC
rnacentral:rRNA from 1 species